GUUGAAACACCAGUUCUUGUAUGAUCACUGAAGUUAAGCAAUGUCAAGCCUGGUUAGUAACUAGAUGGGUGACCACUUGGGAAUACUAGGUGCUAUA